GUUCCUCUCGCUGCAGCCCCGGCGGUAGCAGCCGCUGAGCCUGCCACCACCACCCCUGAGCAGAAGAUGGCUGUGCCUCCCAUGUAUGCUGAUCUUGGCAAAUCUGCCAGGGAUGUCUUCACCGAGGGUUAUGGAUUUGGCUUAAUAAAACUUGACUUGAAAACAAAAUCUGAGAAUGGACUGGAAUUUACAAGCUCAGGUUCAGCCAACACUGAGUCCACCAAAGUGAUGGGCAGUCUGGAAACCAAGUACAGAUGGACUGAAUAUGGUCUGACGUUUACAGAGAAAUGGAACACUGACAACACACUAGGCACAGAGAUCACUGUGGAAGAUCAGCUUGCACGUGGACUGAAGCUGACCUUUGAUUCAUCGUUCUCACCAAACACAGGGGAAAAAAAUGCUAAAAUCAAGACAGGGUAUAAGCGGGAGCACAUCAACCUGGGCUGUGACGUGGAUUUCGACAUUGCCCGUCCUUCAGUCCGGGGUGCUGUGGUGCUGGGAUAUGAAGGCUGGCUGGCUGGCUACCAGAUGAAUUUUGAGACUGCAAAGUCUCAAGUGACCCAGAGCAACUUUGCGGUUGGCUACAAGACUGACGAAUUCCAGGUCCACACUAACGUAAACGAUGGGACAGAAUUUGGUGGCUCCAUUUAUCAGAAGGUGAACAAGAAGUUAGAGACCGCUGUCAAUCUGGCCUGGACAGCAGGAAAUAGUAACACUCGCUUUGGAAUAGCGGCCAAGUAUCAGAUCGACCCUGAUGCCUGCUUCUCGGCUAAAGUGAACAACUCCAGCCUGAUAGGUUUAGGAUACACUCAGACCCUAAAGCCAGGUAUCAAACUGACCCUAUCCGCUCUGCUGGAUGGCAAGAAUGUCAAUGCUGGCGGCCACAAGCUUGGUCUAGGGCUGGAAUUUCAGGCAUAAAUGAAUACUGUACAGUCAUUUAAUUUUAAACUAUUUUGAGCCUAGCUACCUUCAGAAUUUAGUGUACCUUUUAAUGUUGUAUGUCUGGGAUGCAACUAUUGCUAAGUGUCAUGUUAGACCUCCAGGUUAAAGAUGAUUCAGCUUUAAGGUGUUACCCUUUCAGAGGUACAGAAGAAAUCCAAGUCCAUGAAAAGUUCUUUCAGCUGUAGACUUGGGGGGAGCUUGGUGGCCCCUCCAGAGAGUUCAGGUUUCUUUUUUAUCUAGAAAUGGCUGCAAAUGGAAGCUGAUAAUUUAUAGGCACUUUGUUAAUUGGUAUGGAGUACAUGAAUGAAAUUAUGACUUCCUGAGAAUUGAACUGGGUUUCCUACCCGAAGGAAGGAGAGACUCACUGAUGGUGUGUAUAAACCCAUCUGAAAGAGACUUUUUUAGACAGAUUUUCCUGACCUGUUUCCACCCCAGUCCAUCACCUCUUUUACAACAAAAGUAAUCUGCAGACUGUGGUAGC